rnacentral:lncRNA from 1 species
UCAUUUUUUAUUGCAUCUGUAUGAUUCUUCUAUCUUUUCUUCUAUAUUUGUCGUGCUAGCGGUCUAUCAAUUUUGUUGAUCUUUUCAAAAAAUCAGCUCCUGGAUUCAUUGACUUUUUGAAGGUUUUUUUGUGUGUGUGUCUCUAUCUCUUUCAGUUCUGCUCUGAUCUUAGUUAUUUCUUGCCUUCUGCUAGCUUUUGAAUUUGUUUGCUCUUGCUUCUCUAGUUCUUUUCAUUGUGAUGGCAUUCAGCCCAUUUACAUUUAAGGUUAAUGUUGUUAUGUGUGAGUUUGAUCCUGUCAUUAUGAUGCUGGCUGGUUAUUUUGCCCAUUAGUUGAUGCAGUUUCUUCCUAGCAUCAAUGGUCUUCACAAUUUGGCAUGUUUUUGCAUUGGCUGGUACUGGUUGUUCCCUCCCAUUUUUAGUGCUUCCUUCAGGAGCUCUUGUUAAGGCAGGUCUGGUAGUGACAAAAUCUUUCAGCAUUUGCUUGUCUGUAAAGGAUUUUAUUUCUCCUUCACUUAUGAAGCUUAGUUUGGCUGGAUAUGAAAUUCUGGUUUGAAAAUUCUUUUCUUUAGGAAUGUCGAAUAUUGGCCCCCACUCUCUUCUGGCUUGUAGAGUUUCUGCUGAGAGAUACGCUGUUAGUCUGAUGGGCUUCCCUUUGUGGGUAACCCAACCUUUCUCUCUGGCUGCCCUUAACAUUUUUUCCUUCAUUUCAACUUUGGUGAAUCUGAUAAUUAUGUGUCUUGGAUUUGGUCUUCUCAAGGAGUAUCUUUGUGGCGUUCUCUGUAUUUCCUGAAUUUUAAUGUAGGCCUGCCUCACUAGGUUGGGAAAGUUCUCCCGGAUAAUAUCCUGAAGAGUGUUUUCCAACUUGGUU